rnacentral:rRNA from 1 species
ACGACGCUGGCGGCGUGCCUAAUACAUGCAAGUCGAACGGGGUAAGCCUCUUCGGAGACUUACUUAGUGGCGAACGGGUGAGUAACGCGUGAGAAACCUGCCUUUCAGUGGGGGACAACAGUUGGAAACGACUGCUAAUACCGCAUAACGUCAUUUUGGGGCAUCCCUUAAUGACCAAAGAUUUUAUCGCUGAAAGAUGGACUCGCGUCCGAUUAGAUAGUUGGUGAGGUAACGGCUNACCAAGUCGACGAUCGGUAGCCGAACUGAGAGGUUGAUCGGCCGCAUUGGGACUGAGACAGGCCCAGACUCCUACGGGAGGCAGCAGUGGGGGAUAUUGCACAAUGGAGGAAACUCUGAUGCAGCAACGCCGCGUGAGGGAAGACGGUCUUCGGAUUGUAAACCUAAGUUAUCAGGGACGAUUAUGACGGUACCUGAAGAGAAAGCUCCGGCUAACUACGUG